CUACGGGUGGCUGCAGUGAGGAAUAUUGCACAAUGGGGGGAACCCUGAUGCAGCAACGCCGCGUGGAGGAUGACGCAUUUCGGUGUGUAAACUCCUUUUAUAUGUCAAGAAAAUGACGGUAGCAUAUGAAUAAGCACCGGCUAACUCCGUGCCAGCAGCCGCGGUAAUACGGAGGGUGCAAGCGUUACUCGGAAUCACUGGGCGUAAAGGACGCGUAGGCGGGUUGGAAAGUCAGGUGUGAAAUCCUACAGCUUAACUGUAGAACUGCACUUGAAACUUCUAAUCUAGAGUAUGGGAGGGGGAGAUGGAAUUAGUGGUGUAGGGGUAAAAUCCGUAGAUAUCACUAGGAAUACCUAAAGCGAAGGCGAUCUCCUGGAACAUUGCUGACGCUAAGGAGUGAAAGCGUGGGGAGCGAACAGGAUUAGAUACCCCCGUAGUC
rnacentral:rRNA from 1 species